UCUUGUCUGGGAGACAAAAAUAAGGAACACCUGUUGAAUAAUAUUCUACAGAUGAGAAAGGUUGCAGUGAUAAGGGAAAAGAGGCACUUUGUUGAGCCAAAAUGCAGGUCACCUGGAAACCCUGACUUUAACCUUAUAAUAUCUUCAUUUGACCUCCUGUCACAAACCAACCAAGGCUCUGAAAUGAUCCAGUUUAUCUCCUCACAGAUAAUAAUCCUGCCUCCCUGUAAUUUUUAUCCAAAGUAGUUAUGCUUUAAAAAUGUGAUGACUGCCUCUGCAGCACUCACCUGCUUCUAUAAGGGGAUAAUUGCAGUUAAAGGCAUGAAGGCUGGUGAGGAGCAGCACCUUGUCUCUCCUCUGUGGGGACACUCAUCAGGGCCAUUAAAGGAGCUGUCUCCACACAGCAUCUCUUCCAGCAUAUGAGCUCCCUCUCAGCACCAUUCAGCAGUAUUAAUACCUGCUCCACUCCUUGCAUCACAUCUGGAUGGCUGGAAGGAUGUAAUAGAGGACAGGAAAGAUUGGAUUUCUCUGUCUCCACUCCACUGGUCAGGAACUGGACGCUGUAUUUGAGCCAUGCUUGCUUUGAUGGUAAUUUGUAAGCCUUUGCUUGAACCACUGCCACCAAGUCAGUUGUACAAGCAAAGCUGAUCUCAAAUCCAAGUCCCUGAUAAAUCACUUCAAUUCUGACCUAAUGAGUUCUUCAUGACAGGAAGAUUUCUGCUGUGGCUCAUUCAACAAGCUAUUUUUUAUUUUCUGUACCGGUGGUAAAGACUGAAGAAAUGGUUUCACACAGAAAAAUGAGGAGCAAUAGCACUUUGUGAGAUUAAUUGGUGACUCAAUUGGUCUCGCUGUCAAACACCAGAUGUUCUGGCUUUUGUAAAAAAAAAAGUGGCUUAAUUUAGAUUUACUUCAUUAGCUGCUGAUGUCACUGCAUUCCACCCUAUUGAAAUAAUUGAUAAGAUUCCUGUCUUUCCUUCCCAAGAGACUAAUUUUCCUCUUUGAAUUAAUUAUAAAAGGUUGAUUUGAGGAGGAGUGGGACAAAAAUCUCUAACCCUUCUUUCCUCUUUGUAGAGGGAAGUGUAUCAGGGGAGGUCUGGAUCCACAUCAUUUGUGGAUAGGGGAACAGUGCCAGCCCUGUGGGGCUUCUGAGCCCAUGCCCUGUGCAGAAAUCCUCCCUCCUAAA